rnacentral:RNase_P_RNA from 1 species
GUGGAAAGUUGAAUGAUCGCAUUUAUUUAUAUAAAUGAGGAAAGUCCGGACUCUAUGGAGAAAUGGUGCCGGUUAACAACCGGCCAAGGUAACUUGAGGGAUAGCGCAACAGAAAAUAUACCGCUCUUUUUUUGAGUAAGGGUGAAAAGGUAAGGUAAGAGCUUACCGCUCACUUGGCAACAAGAGAGGCAUUGCAAGCCCCACUAAGAGAAAGACCAAGUAGGAACCGUUUGAAAUUUUUCAAUAUCUCCAAAUUAUACGGUUCGGGUGGGUCGUUUGAAUCUAUUAGUAAUAAUAGAUCUAGAUGAAUGAUCAUUGGGUAUAUUACCUACAAAAUCCGGCUUAUAAACUUUCCACAAUU